rnacentral:rRNA from 1 species
GACGAACGCUGGCGGCGUGCCUAAUACAUGCAAGUAGAACGCUGAAGGAGGAGCUUGCUUCUCUGGAUGAGUUGCGAACGGGUGAGUAACGCGUAGGUAACCUGCCUGGUAGCGGGGGAUAACUAUUGGAAACGAUAGCUAAUACCGCAUAAGAGUAGAUGUUGCAUGACAUUUGCUUAAAAGGUGCAAUUGCAUCACUACCAGAUGGACCUGCGUUGUAUUAGCUAGUUGGUGAGGUAACGGCUCACCAAGGCGACGAUACAUAGCCGACCUGAGAGGGUGAUAGGCAAAACUGGGACUGAGACACGGCCCAGACUCCUACGGGAGGCAGCAGUAGGGAAUCUUCGGCAAUGGACGGAAGUCUGACCGAGCAACGCCGCGUGAGUGAAGAAGGUUUUCGGAUCGUAAAGCUCUGUUGUAAGAGAAGAACGAGUGUGAGAGUGGAAAGUUCACACUGUGACGGUAUCUUACCAGAAAGGGACGGCUAACUACGUG